rnacentral:ncRNA from 1 species
GACGAGCGAGGAUAGAGGAAGUCGCCGCAAGGCGACUGGGCGCGAAAUUCUCC